rnacentral:rRNA from 1 species
AUCUGGCUCUUUCAGAGUCCGAGUUGUAAUUUUGAGAGCUGUUUUCUGUGCUGGACCAUUUCUAAGUCUGUUGAAAAAUAGCAUCAUUGAGGGUGAUAAUCCCGUUCAUGAUAUGGACUGCCAGUGCAAUAUGAUACAGUUUCUAAGAGUCGAGUUGUUUGGGAAUGCAGCUCAAAGAGGGUGGUAAAUUCCAUCUAAGGCUAAAUAUAGGUGAGAGACCGAUAGCAUACAAGUACCGUGAGGGAAAGAUGAAAAGAACUUUGGAAAGAGAGUUAACAGUGCGUGAAAUUGUUGUAAGGGAAACAUUUGAAGUUAGCCUUGUGCUUGUUAGUUCAGCUCUUCUCUAGGGUGUAUUCUAAUAUUGUCACAGACCAACAUCAGUUUUUGGGUGCUGGAUAAGGGUUCUGGAAAUGUGACAGUUUAGGCUGUGUUAUAGUCCAGAAUUUAGAUACAGUGCUUAGGACUGAGGUAUGCAGCAAGC